UUAAGCGAAGAAGAGCGCAGGGUGGAUGCCUUGGCACUGAGAGCCGAUGAAAGACGUGAUAAGCUGCGAAAAGCCAUGGGGAGGUGCAAAUGACCCUUGAUCCAUGGAUAUCUGAAUGGGGAAACCUACAUGAGCAUACCUCAUGUGGCCUGUACUGAAUCCAUAGGUGCAGGCCGGGAACCCGGUGAACUGAAACAUCUAAGUAGCCGGAGGAAGAGAAAGAAAAUAUUCGAUUUCCAAAGUAGCGGCGAGCGAAAUGGAAAGAGCCCAAACCGGUGUGCGUGCACACCGGGGUUCGGACUGCAUGACUGAUCCACGAUCCCAGCAGAACGGUACUGGAAAGACCGGCGGUAAAGGGUGAGAGCCCCGUAAGCGAAGGGAGAAGGGACAGGGCAGUAUCCAGAGUACUACGAGACACGAGAAACCUUGUAGGAAUGAGCGGGGACCACCCCGUAAGGCUAAAUACUACUCAGUGACCGAUAGAGCAUAGUACUGUGAAGGAAAGGUGAAAAGGACCCCGGGAGGGGAGUGAAAGAGAACCUGAAACCCUGUGUUUACAAGCUGUGGAAGUACUUUAUAUGUACGACCGCGUACUUUUUGUAGAACGGUCCGGCGAGCUGCGGAUGCUGGCGAGGUUAAGCACUGAAGGUGCGGAGCCGAAGGGAAACCAUGUCUGAACAGGGCGUUUUUAGUCAGUAUACGCAGACCCGAAACCGGGUGAUCUAUCCAUGUCCAGGAUGAAGUUGCCGUAAAAGGCAGUGGAGGUCCGAACGCACAUCCGUUGAAAAGGGUGGCGAUGAGGUGUGGAUAGGGGAGAAAUUCCAAUCGAACCCGGAGAUAGCUGGUUCUCCUCGAAAUAGCUUUAGGGCUAGCCUCGUGAGAGUCAGGCGGAGGUAGAGCACUGAAUACCCGAGGGGGCGUCAAAGCUUACCAAAGGUUAUCAAACUCCGAAUGCCGCGCUGAUGCUUCACGGGAGUCAGACUACACGAGAUAAGUUGGGUGGUCAAAAGGGAAACAGCCCAGACCUGCAGCUAAGGUCCCAAAGUGCGUGUUAAGUGGAAAAGGAUGUGGGAUUUCGAAGACAACCAGGAUGUUGGCUCAGAAGCAGCCACACAUUCAAAGAGUGCGUAAUAGCUCACUGGUCGAGAGGUCCUGCGCCGAAAAUGUCCGGGGCUCAAACACGCCACCGAAGCUCAGGAAUGUAUUUAUACAUUGGUAGAGGAGCAUUGUCAGUGCAUCGAAGCUGUACCGGUAAGGAGCAGUGGAGCGCUGAGAAGAGAGAAUGCCGGAAUGAGUAGCGAGAAAGAGGUGAGAAUCCUCUUGGCCGAAUAUCCAAGGAUUCCGGGGUAAAGCUGAUCUGCCCCGGGUAAGUCGGGACCUAAGGCGAGGCAGAAAUGCGUAGCCGAUGGACAGCAGGUGGAGAUUCCUGCACUGCCAUAUAUCAGAAAUGUGGGGACGCAUCAGGAAAGUGUGGGCCGGGAAAGGAAAGACCGGUGCAAGCGGAGGAGGGGACAUGCAGGCAAAUCCGCAUGUCAACCCAAGAGCGUUAUGCGGAGCGAAGAAUAGUAGCGAAGCACACGGACAGGGUGCCGAGAAAAGCCGCUAUCGUGUAUAUGGUACCCGUACCGUAAACCGACACAGGUGGAUGAGGAGAGAAUCCUAAGGCCGGCGGGAGAAGCAUUGUUAAGGAACUCGGCAAAAUGGCCCCGUAACUUAGGGAUAAGGGGUGCCACAGUGAUGUGGCCGCAGAGAAUAGGCUCAAGCAACUGUUUAGCAAAAACACAGGUCUAUGCGAAACCGAAAGGUGAGGUAUAUGGGCUGACGCCUGCCCGGUGCUGGAAGGUUAAGAGGAGAGGUUAGCGCAAGCGAAGCUUUGAAUUGAAGCCCCAGUAAACGGCGGCCGUAACUAUAACGGUCCUAAGGUAGCGAAAUUCCUUGUCGGGUAAGUUCCGACCCGCACGAAAGGCGUAAUGAUUUGAGCGCUGUCUCGACAAUGCACCCGGUGAAAUUGAAGUACCAGUGAAGAUGCUGGUUACCCGCGCCAGGACGGAAAGACCCCAUGGAGCUUUACUCCAGUUUGAUACUGGGAUUCG
rnacentral:rRNA from 1 species